AGGCGCCCCUGUUCAUCUUUUCUUUUUUUUGAUGAGCUACAAAGUAAACUGCAGACACCAUAAUUUCUGCUCCCCCCUCCACACUUCAGCACGCAGAUCAUUAAUUAUAAUCCAAUAUAAAUUUCCAGUGCUCUUCUAUUUCAUUUAUUUAUCUAUUUAGAAGGGGUGGGGGGGUGGGGGAGAGAGAACAAGCAUGGGAAGGACAGAGAGAGAAUCCCAAGCAGGCUCCGCACUGUCGGUGUGGAGCCCGAUACAGGCCUCAAACUCACAAACCACGAGCUCAUGACCUGAGCUGAAACCAAGAGUCUGACACUUAACCGACUGAGCCAUACAGGCGCCCCGAUUCCUUUCAUUUUUUUUCUUUGACUUCUUUCAAAGUAAAAUUUGCAUAGAGCAAAACAUAUUAAAGCGGCUCAUGCACAGAGUUUGGAAAAAUGCGUGCAUCUGUACAACCACAGCCCUAUCAGCAUACAGAACAUCACCAUCACUCCAGAAAGUUCCCUCCCUUUUUCGGUCAGUCUCUGUUCCCACCUCACCCCAGAAGCAACCACUCCUCUGGGUCUUUUUUUUUUUUUUUUUUUUUU